AAAACCUAAACCUAUCGCCCGCUCCCUCGCGCCCCUGUUGCUCCCUCCUCGAUCCCGAUCUGGAUCGAGGGGAUGAGGAGCUCCUGCCUCCCCGACGGCCAGCCUCCUCCUCGCCCCGCCGCUGCGUCCGGCGCCACCACGGCCUCUGGAGCCAGGGAAGCCAUGGCCUGAGCUCGGCCUCGAGGUCCCCGCCGCUGUCUCCUGCAGCUUCUACCCCGCCGCCUCACCGCCCGAGCUCGCCGUCGCACCAACCUCGGCGCCGCGCCGCCGCCGGCUCUGGCGCGGAUCUGGGCAUGGCAGCGCAAAGUGGCCGUUUCUCUGGCUCGAUCUGCUGCUACGGUGUCCAGGCGGCCGAAAGGAGAUGGUCGGUGGUUGGAGGGGCUGUAGGCGCGCUGGUCUUACACGGUGAGGGCGGAGCACCCAGCCCGUAGGCUCAUCCCCUUCUUCGAUCCACUCUGGCGGCGGCCAUCGUUGUCAAGGCAUCGGUUCAUGUGGUUUUCUGCUGCUGGCAUAUGAAAGAGAUGCAGACGAGAGGAAGAGAGCCUCCCCCAAGCUCUGUCUAGGCGAUGCACGGGCGACGGCCACCCUUCCUGUUAUUGCCUCCAUGGCUGGCUGCUCAUCCCCAGGAACCUCCUCCCCUCUCACGUGCGCCACACUCUGGGAUUAAGUUGGAACACAGGUAUCUAGGGCAGGGCGUGGUCACAUUGCAGGCAGCGAGGAGCAGCGCAAAGUUGUCUUGGCUGUGCCCUGCAUCGAGGAGGAACACAGGUUGAACAAAUCCGACAUCUGUAAAUCAUCGAUGUUUUUCUGGAAGUAGUACAGUAGGUUUAAGAUUGGGCGAUGAUUCGCUCAUUCGACUGCCAGGAUGGAGAGGAGAAAACUGAAAAGGAUGUUGAUAUGAGGAAUCCAAGGAAGUGGAAGAGGAAGAAAGUUCUGAUGAUGGUGAUAAUUAGAAUAUCAAGUUUGACGACGAUGAUGAUUGGAACCAAGAGGAGGAACUGCCGCUAAAACCCACCAAAGAAUUAGCAAGAAAAUUGAUGGUGGGAGCUAGCAAUGCCGGCAAUGCCUCCUUUAGGAUUACAAAAUCGUUAAUCCUAUCUUCGCUUGCAUGUGACUGAUGGUGAUGCUACACAAGUUCUGAAGGCAGUGCCCUCCCCAGCAGGAGAUCUUGCUGGUUCUGCAUGGCACAACUGGAUUAAAUAUGCUACAGCAAGCGAAGGAGUUCAACGAUGUUGUUGGAAUCAAAGGAUUCAUCCUAACGAAAUUAGACAGGACUGCUCAUGUUGGCUGUGUGGUGAGUGUUAAUAGACGAACUUGGAGUUCCAGCCAAGUUUGUUGGCAUCGGCGAAGGGGUGGAGAUCUCCAACCUUUUGAUGCAGAAGCAUUUGUUGAAGCCAUUUCCCCAUAAAUUUGACCCAGUUAUUAACGUUUCUCAUGUAACAAGAUUUUGGCUAACAUGCUACUCCCUCCGUUUCUAAAUAUAUGUCUUUUUAGGAAUUCUAAUAUGGACUACAUACGAAGAAAAAUGAGUGAAUCUACACUCUAGAAUAUGUCUACAUUCAUCCGUAUGUAGUCCAUAUUCAAAUCACUAAAAAGACCUAUGUUUAGGAAUGGAGGGAGUAGAACUUGGUAGAAGCAAUUAUUUCAACAAUUACAGUUUUUUUGGUUCAGUCGUCGACUCAUCUGCCUGACUUGUUUCUGUCGUUGAUCCUAACUAUUCAUACAGAAACAGAAGAAAGUAUUUGUGAUAUUAUAUGUUUCUUGUGAUUAAGCUCAAGGCACGUUGCAGAUACAUUGAGCAAGAGUACUAACAGAGAAGAGGAAUUUUUCUUUUCAGACUAGCAUGAUA